rnacentral:rRNA from 1 species
UCGACUACAUGAAGCUGGAAUCGCUAGUAAUCGCGAAUCAGAAUGUCGCGGUGAAUACGUUCCCGGGUCUUGUACACACCGCCCGUCACACCAUGGGAGUCGGGAAUGCCCGAAGUCAGUGACCCAACCGGAAGGAGGGAGCUGCCGAAGGCAGGCUCGAUAACUGGGGUGAAGUCGUAACAAGGUACC